rnacentral:lncRNA from 1 species
UGAGUACAAACCCUGCCAUCGAGAGUCCCUUGGCGUCCUGUUCAUUUAAAUACAUUGAAAAUAAGUGAGAUAUAGUUUAAUAAUGUUCCUUUCUGCAAGAAGCAGUAGCCUAAUCAAGCACAGAAACAUUGGUUAACAAGCUUAAUGUAUUGAAGUUCUUGUACAAAUGAAAAGCUACGUAAAUGACCCAAAAGCUACGUAAUCACAA